rnacentral:lncRNA from 1 species
AUGCCAGCAAGUUUGGAAAACUCAGCAGUGGCCACAGGACUGGAAAAGGUCAGUUUUCAUUCCAAUCCCAAAGAAAGGCAAUGCAAAAGAAUGCUCAAACUACCACACAAUUGCACUCAUUCACAUGCUAGUAAAGUAAUGCUCAAAAUUCUCCAAGCCAGACUUCAGCAAUACGUGAACCAUGAACUUCCUGAUGUUCAAGCUGGUUUUAGAAAAGGCAGAGGAACCAGAGAUCAAAUUGCCAACAUCUGCUGGAUCAUGGAAAAAGUAAGAGAGUUCCAGAAAAACAUCUAUUUCUGCUUUAUUGACUACGCCAAAGCCUUUGACUGUGUGGAUCACCAUAAACUCUGGAAAAUUCUGAAAGAGAUGGGAAUACCAGACCACCAAACCUGCCUCUUGAGAAAUCUGUAUGCAGGUCAGGAAAUGACAGUUAGAACUGAACAUGGAACAACAGACUGGUUCCAAAUAGGAAAAGGAGUAUGUCAAGGCUGUAUAUCAUCACCCUGCUUAUUUAACUUCUAUGCAGAGUACAUCUUGAGAAACGCUGGACUGGAAGAAACACAAGCUGGAAUCAAGAUUGCCGGGAGAAAUAUCAAUAACCUCAGAUAUGCAGAUGACACCACCCUUAUGGCAGAAAGUGAAGAGGAGCUAAAAAGCCUCUUGAUGAAAGCGAAAGUGGAGAGGGAAAAAGUUGGCUUAAAGCUCAACAUUCAGAAAACGAAGAUCAUGACAUCUGGUCCCAUCACUUCAUGGCAAAUAGAUGGGGAAACAGUGGAAACAGUGUCAGACUUUAUUUUGGGGGGCUCCAAAAUCACUGCAGAUGGUGACUGCAGCCAUGAAAUUAAAAGACACUUACUCCUUGGAAGAAAAGUUAUGACCAACCUAGAUAGUAUAUUCAAAAGCAGAGACAUUACUUUGCCGACUAAGGUCCGUCUAGCCAAGGCUAUGGUUUUUCCAGUGGUCAUGUAUCGAUGUGAGAGUUGGACUGUGAAGAAGGCUGAGCGCUGA